CUCGCCUGGCUCCCUCCGCGCUCCCGAGCGGUCUCCUCCAGCACGGGUUCCUAGCUCCCUCCGGGCUUCUUCGGCCGGCCUCGUGGACGCCGCGUCCCUCCGGGCUCCCGGCGGCCUCCAACACGCGUCCCUCCCUCCGGGCUGCUCCGGCCGGCGUCGAGGACGGCGCCUCCCUCCAAGCUGUUGCCGGCCUCCAGAAGCCGCAGCAUUUUUGGGAAACAUAUCAUGCGACCAUAUUAUUUAUUAUCUAUCGGUUCUUGCUAGUAUUAGUUUGUCAUUGGCCAUAAUUCUGAUAAACGAUCUGGUAGUACUUGCUAAUGUUAGUUUACUUUUGGUCAAAGUUCUGAUAUACUAGUGAUAAGCUGAUGCCAUGAGCAGUUUUCUUUUUCUGCUAACCUGAAUGGAAUUGUUUCCUCCAUCAGGGAGGAGCCGCACUUUUACUGUAAAGUUAUCAGAAGAGCUCCUCAUGAAUUCAAGAUUUCAUUCCUAGAGGUCAAGUUGCAGUAAAUCGGCGAGUUGAUACAAAGUCAUACACGUCCCUGCAUGCUCUUGUCCAUGGAAUGUCCCCACCAAUAUCAUCAUCUUCAGAGCAGGAGUACUACAAUACCUGGAAUUACUGGAAAAUGCCAUUGCCUGAUGUUGAUAUGUGAGGUACAAGUGAAGCCCGCACAACAGUGCUGCGCUAAUUUUAUAAUGCGCCACAGUGGUGAUGAGAAGAAAACCACGGUGAAGGUAGCACCCUGAGGCAACACCAAUUUUGAGUCCCAAGGACCUUUUCGAGAAAAGCUUUUGGAUGGUCCAGCUGAUGGAUCUGUAGAAAAGCUUUGCCCAAAAGCUAGCUUUUAUCGCUGAAGGAGUGUCCACACACAAGUAUGACCAAAUGUGGAAGAGAAGAUGGUAUAUAUAUGUUUGAGAUUCAUUCAAGCUGAUUUGCAGCUCACCAUCAUUGCCAAGUUAAGUGAGGGAUGGGAGUUGCUAGAGGCUGGUAUAGCUGUAGCUUUUGUAGUAGUAAGAUGUUGUAAUCUGUAUGAACAAUGGUUGUUUUACUCUUGUUCAGAAGAGUACCAUGUGUUUGCUGUGAUAUGCUGCACCAUCACAUAUUUGAAUUUGACAUGAAAGGAAAUGAAAUAUUUUGUUGCCUAAAGCCUA